rnacentral:lncRNA from 1 species
UCCCUUCCUGCCCCCUCUGGAUACAGGAGGUGGUGCCCAGGUUUUCACAGAUCUGGAGGGCCCUCGAGUAGCGAGAGCCUGGGUGCUCAGCUUAUCACUGCUACUUGCAUUCAGAGGUGGAGGGUGAAGCAAGCCUCUCGAAGAGGAAAGCAGUGUUGACCUCAAGGCCCCCGGCGGAACGCAGGGAGGCUGCUGGGUGAGGACAUAGGGAGACAGCUGGGGGCAAAUUCACAACCAGAGAACAUUCUUCAGGAUUUUCAACUGUCUUUUUUAUUUUCCCCCUCCAGCAAUGAAUAGGGAGAACCCCAGACUGUGGUAAAAAUAGCUCACGCUCUUCCUCAAACCUGUCUGGCUUGCGUUUGUGGAAAGUUUAGGGGAAAGAGUCACAUUUGAAACUGGAAUUUAUUUUGAGCCAGUCAUGCUGACAGGAGCUCAGUUCUGGGUAGAGAAAGCAGCUUCCCAGCAUAGAAACCGGCUUCAUCUUUUUUUUUUUUCUCUCUCUCUCUCUAACUCCUCCCAAAGUCAUGUCUGAUUCUUUGCCACCCUGCGGACUGUAGCCCACCAAGCUCCUCCGUCCAUGAGUUCUCCAGGCAAGAAUACUGGAAUGGACUGCCAUUACCUUCUCCAGGGGAACUUCCCAACCCCGGGAUCGAACCCAGGUCUCCUGCAUUGCAGACGGAUUCUUUACCAACUGAGACACCAGGAAAGCCCCCAAAGUAUUCCUUCAUAUUUUUGUUACAGUGAAAAACUAGAUGUAAGGCAGAAUAAUCAUGUGUGUUUGUCUCUACAGGGAGCAGGUUUCCCGAGAAGCUUUGAAGAGGCAGAGGUUACGUGGAUGCGGUGGCCCUGGACAGGGGGGGUCUCCUUGGACCUGAAAGCAGUUUGAGGCUCCGUCUGCGGAAAUCAAAGGUCACCCAAGAUUUCACCAAGUUCACAGAUGACUGAUGUUCUCCUGGUUGCCCCUGACUCACAGCUGUGUCCCCUCUGAAUUCGUUCGGUCUGUGUCCAUCCUGUUGACCACACCUACUGCCUCCUUCUUAUAACACAUCAACUGAGAUAUAGGAUUCAGCCCCAUACAGGAUUAAUCAGCACGCAUGCACUCCACUCACACUGUCUCCUGUGUGUGUGUGUGUGUGUGUGUGUGUGUGUGUGUGUGAGAGACUUCAC